UACAGAGGUGGCAAGCGUUGUUCGGAAUUACUGGGCGUAAAGAGCUCGUAGGCGGUUUGUCGCGUCGUCCGUGAAAACUUGGGGCUCAACCCCAAGCUUGCGGGCGAUACGGGCAGACUUGAGUACUGCAGGGGAGGACUGGAAUUCCUGGUGUAGCGGUGAAAUGCGCAGAUAUCAGGAGGAACACCGGUGGCGAAGGCGGGUCUCUGGGCAACAACUGACGCUGAGGAGCGAAAGCGUGGGGGAGCGAACAGG
rnacentral:rRNA from 1 species